CUUACCUAUAACGAUUUGCAAUAACCAGUGAUAUGCAUAUAUAUACAAGUACAGACAAUUGUAUAAUGAUACAUUUUGAGAUAUGUUGAAGUCAUGUGGAAGAAAAAUGUUAUGUUCAAUAGAUGGCGCCACCUGCUGUUCUUGGAUUUGAUUUUUGAAGAAGGAUCUCUGAAAAAGCAAAUAAAUACAAAUUUUACAAAU